rnacentral:rRNA from 1 species
UACGUAGGGGGCAAGCGUUAUCCGGAUUUACUGGGCGUAAAGGGAGCGUAGACGGCAAUACAAGUCGGAAGUGAAAUACCCGGGUUCAACCUGGGAACUGCUUUGGAAACUGUAUGGCUGGAGUGCUGGAGAGGUAAGCGGAAUUCCUAGUGUAGCGGUGAAAUGCGUAGAUAUUAGGAGGAACACCAGUGGCGAAGGCGGCUUACUGGACAGUAACUGACGUUGAGGCUCGAAAGCGUGGGGAGCAAACAGG